UUUCAAUGCAUGUGACGUUAUAUCUAUGGUCUUUUUCAGUUGAAGUGUCCAAAAUGUGGUCAUCGCUUCGUUGAAUAAUGGUCUAGUCUGAAAGACACUACUGGCAGUAAAAAGAGCCGAUACGUUACAAGGCGACGUUAAAUGUCACAUGUUUUAGUUGAUAUGGAUACAUCAUGACGACAGAAUACAUACGUAUAAAAGAUAAAUACGACUUAGUAAAUUGUCCAUGGAGUUUUUGUUUGUUUCCUAUUCAUUUGUAUCUGAUUAACAUUUUGGAAUUCAUCGAAAUUACAUUGUCUACAUGAUUGUCCUUUGUUUAAUCAUCAAUCAAAACUAAUCAUCACUGAUCAUGUUUAAAUAUCUAUAUUUGGCUAUAACUUGUAUUGAGAUGUUGUAGUCUAUGGUAAAUUCUGAUUUUGUUUCAACUGAAUUAAAUAAAAAUGUGUGUGAAGCGUAUAUCUCUACGCUAGAAUAAAUAACUCUGUUGUCAGUGAAAACCAGAUCAAUGUACACCUUAAAUGCAUUAUCCAGGAAGAAUACAGUUCGUUUUUGUAUAAUCAUGUUACACAUAUUUAAUUGCCAGAAGAAGGCCUGAUCAUUUAUUUGAAUUAGGUUUUUUUUUAACAAUGGCAUGUUUCAAUGUGUGACAUUUAUAUGUGUUUCAUUUACAUUAUCAAGAUUUCUACAUACAUGCAUUUACAUUUGCACACAUCACAUUCAAUAAAAUCACACCAAUCUCACACAUAUAUACCAAUACUCAUAAGUAUAAAGUGUAGAACAAUGCUGCUAGCAAUAUCAUUUUCCGAUAAAACUUUAAUUUGAAGUGUACAAACAUAAUUUUGAAACACUGUCCUGUAUUAUAUUCUAGACGAAUGGAAAAUGAAUAUCAGUACCAGCAAUGAAUUGUAACGAAAAUGCUCAUAAGUAGUAGAAGGAAAACAUUAAAAAAAAAAAAAAAAAAAAAAAUAGUAGAAAAAAAAAUGCGGAUAUAGACAUGUACACAAAUAAUUAAACACAUUAGGAACCUGUGUAGAGAUGAUAAUAUAUAUAUUUUUUCAGAUUCAGUGUUUAAUUUAAGAGAGGUAAAGCAAAGGAAUCAUGAAUCGAAGAUGUUUUCCCAGUCUUCCCACGCUUUGUUAGAUACGUAAAUAUGCAUGUUUGAAGUGGGGGGAUGUUUUUUAUAAGUGUUGUAUCGGUAUAGUAAAAUUUGAUUAAUUUCAUUGAUGUCAAUACUUUUCUGCUGAAAAUAAAAAUAAAUGAGUUAGUGUAUAGUAUCAGAAAGAUUAAAUUACUUAACAUGUCUUUAAUUCUAUUUAAUGUAUUUUUUUUUUACAUCUAUACACAGUUUAAUCAUAUUCCCAAAUUAAGGUUAUUAUAUUCCUUACUUCUAAAUUACAUUAUAAACAUAUGAUUUUUAAAUGCAGUUAAAUUCUCUGUUGCAAUCUACAUUAAAACAACUUUAUCAUCAUGUUUUGACAAAUUUUGAAGAUAUUCUUAUCAAUAGGUUUCGAAUUAUUCACACUCAUAUAAGUGUUCGAAAGCCAUCGGAACUUUGAAGUAGUUGUAUUUUGUAGUUUCGGUUUGGAGUAUUAUCAUAUCCCUGUAUUCCUUAUUUAGUUUCGAUACAAUGUUUCUAUGGCUUCAGAUGAAUGUUCGUUUUAUUAUAUAGUUUGUAUCUUUUUCAAUACCAUUUAUUCUCUCAUAUCACGCCUUGUUGGAAAAGUUUGCCCAUGUAAGAUAGCUUUGUAAGAUAAAUAUCUUACAUAGCAAUUCACGCGCGCAAAGGAAUAUCUGCGUCCAAGGGGGGUAACUCUUACAAGUUCGCCUGCUUGUGUUUACAUCUUUUAGUCGUCAUCGUCGGUGGCAGGUUUUUGAAAAGUUGGGAUUAAGUAUUGUAACUGUAACAGUGGCUAUUGUAACAGUACUAUACAGUAGACUGUACGGUUUGUCACCCGCCAUAGAAGAAAGCUUGCGAACACACACAGUAACCAGGCAAUGAUGACAGGUUUUAUUAAAGCCACCAAUAAAUACGUCAUAAGAAUUUGUCAAACACCGCAACAGACGACACAGCUCCGUCUACAUCAGUACAAGGGCCUGGGAUUGUGCUUACUCUACACAGCAGGCGUGUUUAAACUUAUCCUACUGUGAACAUGUAGCACGUUUCCUUGCAGUAAAAAUGACACUCCAGAUGUUCAUAUAAGAAAAUAUUUGUUUUAAAUGUAGUGGGUCUAUAUUUCUGUAGAUUAACCAGGAAAACUAACAGUAACUCUAACCUUUGAAUAUCAUCGUCUUUAUUAACUGCAACAGUAACUCUACAGUCGUCAUUUCAUCAAAAUCACCGGUUAAACAGAUACAAUCCUAUAUUACAGACGAGAUCGAAUGCUCGAAUACAGUCACUGUUCGCUGGUUCAUACAUGAGGGACACUUUUUCCAGCAAUUUGGUAGUGAUAUGAGAGAAAAAAGACUCUUUCAUUAGGUGUGUAUGUAGGAUAGGUAUAUUCCACCCUCAGGAUCACAAAAUGUGGUAAAACCCUCGACAAUCACCGGGUUUCAACACAUCUUGUGACCCCCUCGGGUAGAAUAUCCCUAUCCUACAUACAUACAUAUGAAAGUGUAUCCCUCUAUAGAAUAAAUAGUUUGAAAAGAUGUAUUGCCUUAAUGGGCGAUUUUAAAAUGUCUUCAUAUGAUACAAUACAGUUUCAAUCAGAUAUUUUAUUCCCAAAACUAUUAUCAGUGUUGUAGAUUCUAAUUUGAUUCCAUAACUAUAAGCUUGGAUAUGUUAAAAUGAUAAACAGUUCCUGAUCCUGCGAUAUACUGAGUUUUGGAUCUAUUUUUAUUGAAGACCUUUAAUGGAAUUAUUAAGGUCAGUCAUUUUAGCCCAUAGUCUUCAUAUUUGAACUGAAUUUAUCAAGACAAUACAAUGAUUUUUGUUUAACAUAUUAAUGGCUUGUGUACCAGAAUUCGGGAUAGAAAUGCAUCAAUCAAUUAAUUUCGGUAUUAUAAUUUACAACAAUGCGACCUACGGGUGAGCUUGGUGAUUCAUUUAUUUUAUUUUAUCUGUUUUUUUAGUACUGUAAGUUUUUACCACGUAAUUUAAUUAAGAUUGAGAUUUGAUGUUUUCUUAAUAAUGCUGUAGCUAAUUAUACGACAAAGUGUUGUUCACCUCGUAAUCUACAAAUGACAAUAAACUGCAAAUGUUUAAAACCUUAA